rnacentral:rRNA from 1 species
AGGUCUAAAGGGUUCGUAGACAGUAUAAUAAAUUAUUAGAAAUAAUAAAAUUGUUAAACUAGAGUAAUAUUAAAGAAAUUAGUAUUUUAUAAGUAAAGGUUGAAUUUAAAUAAAUAAAAGACUACACAGCGAAAGCAUGUUUCUGAAUAUAUACUGACGUUGAGGGACUAAAGCUAGGGUAGCAAAGCGGAUUCGAUACCCGCGUAGUCCUAGCCAUAAACGAUGAAUGCUAAUUAAAUUAUUUAUUUAAUAAA